ACGAACGCUGGCGGCAUGCCUCACCCCUGCCCGUCGAACGAUGCCUUCGGGCAUAGUGGCGCACGGGUGCGUAACGCGUGGGAAUCUGCCCUUGGCUUCGGAAUAACAGUUAGAAAUGACUGCUAAUACCGGAUGAUGUCCCCCUGAGAGAUCUUGGGGACCAAAGAUUUAUCGGCCAGGGAUGAGCCCGCGUAGGAUUAGGUAGUUGGUGGGGUAAAGGCCUACCAAGCCGACGAUCCUUAGCUGGUCUGAGAGGAUGAUCAGCCACACUGGGACUGAGACACGGCCCAGACUCCUACGGGAGGCAGCAGUGGGGAAUAUUGGACAAUGGGGGGAACCCUGAUCCAGCAAUGCCGCGUGAGUGAUGAAGGCCUUAGGGUUGUAAAGCUCUUUUACCAGGGAUGAUAAUGACAGUACCUGGAGAAUAAGCUCCGGCUAACUCCGU
rnacentral:rRNA from 1 species